UGGGAUGUAGUUCAGUGAUAGAGCACUUACCUAGCAUGUGUGAGACCCUAGGUUCAAUCCCCAGCACCACAC
rnacentral:tRNA from 1 species